AAAGUACUCCCUCCAUCCGGAAUUACUUGUCAUCAAAAUGGAUGUGUCUAGAACUAAAAUACAUCUAGAUACAUCCAUUUCAAUGAAAAGUAUUUUCGGACGGAGGGAGUACAAG
rnacentral:pre_miRNA from 1 species